UCUUCUUAAUAUCUCUGAAUACGCUGCUAAACAGGAAGCCUACAUUACUUCUAGUGCCACUACCCCGAAGUUGGGAGUUCCCAGCUUUAUGAGAAGCCUUAACUGGCUAAUUUGUUUCCACCGUGUACCUACUUGCUAUACCUUGCAACAAAUUACAGGCAGAGGAACGACUGGGAGGCACCAAAAGCUACAGUAGCAGACAGAAGAGCAGGCCGGGCCUACGGAAAACUACUGCAGAGGCAAAGCAACGACGCUCAGCGCACGACCUGCGAGACUCGAAGGGAACAGAGGAAGGCUCACGCUGAGCCGGCACGCCCCUUACCUGCCGGCAUCAGCACACGCGGCUCCAGCCCCAGCAUGCCCACGGCAGCGGCCGCCCGGGGCGGGGAGCAACCAGCCGGGCACCCGGCGGGCAGAGCCACGGAAGGCAUCGGGAGGCCGUGCGGGGACCUCGGGGCGGGUUCAGCCCAGGGUUGGAGCUGCGGAAGGAGAGAGAAGUCAGCGUGGGAGUGGGUCUUUUCUGAAGAGUGGCAAAUUACUUCCAUGGCUAUGAAGUUUGGUCGUCUCAACAAUACACAACGGUUAGAACUCAAAUGGUGCUUUUUUUUCAGCUGAAAGCACAGUUGGUAUAGAAUUGGAGAAAAAAAGUGGGUAGAAGCUGCUGUAAAGCUGAUACCAUCUUGGAGAAGGAAGCUGGGGCUUUUAUUGGACUAAGGGACCCUCAGAGACCCCUCCACGUUUGUUUUCCAUGGUCUGCCAUGAACUUUUUAUAGACCACGACACACUUCUAUCAUUAGAACUCCGGAAGUCAAUAGAAUGUCUCCUGUGGACCUGUUAGGAAGUUCAGCCCAUGGGCUGCAAGCUGGCAUUUGGCACUGUACUAAAGCUCCCAAUCUGUUCUACAAUGGGAGCCAAGCUUCAUGGAAAAUAUCUGUUGUUAACUUUAGAAAGGGAUUAUCAUGGGAUUUUCUACUCCGUCCUCUCUUUUCGUUGGAUAUAGCAUUGGAAAGUAGAAUUGUUCAGCUUUGCAGCAGUCCCCACAUAGGUGAAUUCCUACUACUGUGACAGCCCAAAGAGCUGAUCUUUCUCACUGAAGUUAAUGAUGAGUCGUACUAAAAGCUGAAGGCAUUUUGUAGCCCAAAUAAGGUCAAAUAGUGUUGGCCUAGUGUUUAUACAACGUGUGACUGUCUUACCUUGCAGAAAAAUGGAAUGCCAAUCAUAUUUGUAUCUCAAGAAUAAAAAUUCAAAGCUGUGGGAACAAGUGUCACUGAAGUUUCCUUCUUCUCAACAGAAAUCAACUUAAAAAACAGUAGUCUCAGUAAUCCAAGUGGUUUGUUAUGUAUGUGCC